rnacentral:rRNA from 1 species
ACGAAGGGUGCAAGCGUUACUCGGAAUUACUGGGCGUAAAGCGUGCGUAGGUGGUUUGUUAAGUCUGAUGUGAAAGCCCCGGGCUUAACCUGGGAAUGGCAUUGGAAACUGGCGAGCUUGAGUGCGGCAGAGGGGGGUGGAAUUCCGCGUGUAGCAGUGAAAUGCGUAGAGAUGCGGAGGAACACCGAUGGCGAAGGCAGCCCCCUGGGUCGACACUGACGCUCAGGCACGAAAGCGUGGGGAGCAAACAGGA